rnacentral:tRNA from 1 species
UCCCUGAUAGCUCAGUUGGUAAAGAAUCUGCCUGCAAUGCAGGAGACCCUGGUUUGAUUCCUGGGUGGGGAA